GACAAACGCUGGCGGCGUACCUAAGACAUGCAAGUCGAACGGGUACGGACCCUUCGGGGGUGGCGUGCUAGGUGGCGGACGGGUGAGUAACGCGUAGGAACCUAUCGCACAGUGGGGGAUACCACGGGGAAACCGGUGUUAAGUACCGCAUGUGGUCAGCAAUGACGAAAGCAGCAAUGCGCUGUGUGCGGGGCCUGCGUCCGAUUAGCUCGUUGGUGGGGUAAGGCCUACCAAGGCGACGAUCGGAGCUGGUCUGAGAGGAUGGUCAGCCACACUGGGACUGAGACACGG
rnacentral:rRNA from 1 species